rnacentral:misc_RNA from 1 species
CUCGUGGCCCGGACUAUGGUCUCCAUUUUUUAUCAAAGCCAACUAACGUUUCGCGCCUCAUCUGCGCGGCUCCGCUGCUGCGUCACGCUGCCGUGGGGCACCCCUUCCUCUGCCGAAGGUGCUCGCGCCGUUUCGCGUCUGUGCUGAUGCGCAAGGCAUUGCCGGACAAAGGAGUAUCAUGAAGGCGUUCCCUUUACAGCACAAAAUGAUGCAGCGACUGAAGUUGCCCUACAUUCAUGUCGGCACGUGCGAGGUCAUGAACCUCGCCAGCUCAUACAACAUGGACUCCUUCAGCGUUUUCAAUGCCAAGAACAGGGGUUUGUACCAGUCGACGGCAGCGGCCGCUGCCCAACGCGCGGCGACGACCCCCACCGACGGCACCGCCGCGUGGUCUCUUUCGCAGUGCCAAGAGCCCUUCCUGGGGGAGAUGGUGGCAGGUGGUCUGCUAGACAGCUACACGGGCCGAGAGGCAUCUACGUUUGUGAGCAGCUACCUUGCCAAGGCACUGAGCAUGCACACUGUGUUGCCAACGGAACUACGCAUAUUGCGCAAGGAAGACCCUUCUGAUCCCCUCCUUGCUAUCAUGAUGGCUGCCUUGGCCCGGAGACGUGGUAUGCACACGGAGUCGGGGAGUCUCGUGACGGAAUGGGAGCUUCAGCAGUAUGCCAUCAGUGCUGACGCGGCUUUUUUCCGUGCGUGUAAAGCUGGUCGACGCCCGCCGUACCUCUCCUCGGCACAGGAAAAAAGAGGCAGAGAUGCAGGCGCAGAGGAUCCCCGUCCAUCGCCGCUGCCGCCGGAGGAAAGUGGUUGUCGCGGUGUGUGGUUCUCGGCCACCGUGACCCCAACCUGGCUGGCGGAGCAGCAGCGGCAAGCGCUGACGGAGCACAAGCAGCGGCUAGCCCCUUCUCCGCAGCGAAUACUCGCGUGUGCAGAAGCGGCCGACGAGCGUGAAGUACGGGAGCUGCUGGCCCACACACCGUUUUGUCUCGAUGUCGCUGUCGGUUGUGUGGGCAAUUCACGUGCCUUCGGCGUUGCCCGAAACGCGCUGACUGGCGGUAUGCAGAGUCGACUGGACGCAUCACGAGAGCGAACGGUGCCGCUGAGCAUCGACCACAGCCCGCUUCGCACCUCGGAGUACCGGCGUGUCGUGCAGGCAGGCGGCAUAGUGGACUCGACCGUCGGGGACAUGAUUGACGGCAAUCCGUACUACAACGUCGCCAGGAGUUUUGGCCACUGGUCCAUGAAGAAGGAUGGACGCCGCUCGCCGGUGGAGCAGAAGAUGAUCGCUCUGCCCACGGUCAAGACGUGGCGCAUGCUAGCCGGGGAUGCCCUCGUGCUGUGCAACCAUGCCGUCUUUGAGACUAGGCAUCAGGAUGACAGUAGCAUGGAUGAGCUGGCGAAGGUGGUGGGCCGAGGGCUCUCGCUUGAUUUACCGCCGGAGGCGAUCGCCGCCUCUCUCUGUGACUUUGCCGUUCGCUUCGGUGCGGAGCACUCCCUGCAGGUGAUGGUGGCCGUGGCGGGGCCGGCAGCCGGCACCGCACCAUGCGCGGCAAGCGGAGAUGAUUCUGGAAUGUCAGUGCCCGAGUUCUCCGAGUGGGUGGACCCGGGGCCGCUCUACCUCGGUGCGUGCCAGCGGUUUCCUGAGCUGCGCCGAAGGCUGCAGCAGGACUGCGCCCGGUGUGAAAUGACACUGGCCUCACUGAUCCGCCGCCGUUGGGAGCGCGUGCGUGAUCUGCUUCCGACUCGCCACUCCCUGUCGCUGCUGCCCUACUACGGAAAAGAGUGCGGCGCGUUGCAGCAAAUUAUGGAGGAGGAGGCCAUUUUUUUUGAGCACGAAAUCUUGCGCGACGUGACUGACGUGAAUGACCCACGUCUCGAUGUGGUGUUUCAAAAGCUGGCGAAGCGGCUACAGCCGAGCGCGCCUGUUGCGUGAUCUGAGCGUGCUGCUAGGUGCGCGCGCAUGUGUUUGGCGCUGUGGGGGUGUUUUGUACGCGGUGCUGCGGUGUAACGGGUGCAAAGGGUCACGCGACACAAACAACAGCGCGUUGCGGACAUCCUCGAAGGAGCUCUUCUUUUUGUUUGUUGUUUGGAGGCGUGUGCGUGUGUGUGUGUGUGUGUACAUGUGAAGACUUUUACUCAGUCUCGUCGGCCCUCGUUAACAGAUGCAGGCACACACAAG